GACUGGGCAGCUCAGCUGGUAGAGCAUGAGACUCUUAAUCUCAGGGUUGUGGAUUCGAGCCCCACAUUGGGCA